ACCAGCUGGACUCAGAAAAGAAACCCAAACCAAGCGAAAAUGACCAAGGAUGGAGAAAACAAUCAGUGGGCACCAGAUUCCCCAUCAAGUCUCCUUGACAACUGAUUCUCACCCCCACCACUACCACAGUUGCUACAGCAAUUGUAGGAUUGGGAAUAUAUGUUUCGCAAGGGGAAAAACCUCAACUGCCUCAUGAGGGGCAAAAUAUUGGAAAGCAGAAUAUGAUGUGGUCUGUCUCUCACCUGGUCGUGGUCAAGGUCUGCAUCGCCAGUGAUAACAAUCCGCUUUUCAAUUCUGGUUUCUGACACACCACCUUUUACUGUCUAAAGAUUUCAAGAACAAGGAAUAUGUUACUUAAUCCUCCAAUAUCUGAAUCUUUAUGAAAACCUGAAGAGGACAGAGAAGAAGAAAGGCAGAGAUAUUGAACCCUAGGACGAUGUGCCUGAUAAAGGAUCCCUUACUCUUCUACCAUUUACCUC